CUAGAGCCUCUAGCAGUCAAUCAACCCAGCCUGGAGAACAAUCAGGCUCUGCUGGAUCACCAGCUACUUUCACCUCCUCAGUAGGAAAUGCAGGUACCACAGCAACCCUGCACUCCAGCCUCACCAGUUCUGGGACCACAGAAGGCAAAGGAAGUCCCACUGUGUCAGUGUCUAGUCAAGGAGAAGGCAGUACACCAAGGGAACAAGGCACUACAGCUGCAAGCCCAGGAACAUCAGGAACCACCUCAGGAGCUGCCAAGGAAAGCUCACCUACAAGGCCAGGCACUGGGACCUCCAGCCCUGUUACAACAUCAGGAACAAGAGCAGGAACAGAUGCAACCACCACUGCAGCUCCUGGAACGAGCACAUCUGGAGGAACAGGCAAGCCCAGAACAUCUUCUGUCACAACCUCUGAAGCAGCUGUCAGCAGCAGCCCUGGGACAGAAAGCACUGGAGCCCCAGGUUCUGAUUCUGCAAGUACCACUGCAGCUGGUUCAUUAGCCACAACCAAACCAUCCACCUCUGCCAGCACAGAACCAGGCUCACCUGGGGCAUCAUCUGGAUCCAGUCCUGGCCCAGCAGGUGUUAGCACUACUGGAGGAGCAAGUACUGGAGCCACAGUUUCAG
rnacentral:lncRNA from 1 species